rnacentral:lncRNA from 1 species
GCCGAGGGGCUACCGUUCUGCCUCCGACCGGUCGUGUGUGGGUUUACUCGGAGGUGCUUUGCCUCUGAAGAAAAGAGAAAUACUAGGCUUUAGAAUUUCACCAUAUGAAUUUUGGGAGAGAGGAGCACAGUUCAGCCCAUAACUAACACACGACGGAAUGAAGUUGAUAAUAGUGAGACCUUGUUGGUACAAGACUAUGUAACAUAACCUGCGCUUCUCAACAAAGAAUUGCUUUUCUGACUUCUGCACUCAGUUCUUUCCUCCAGCUCACUUUAUUGUAAGAACCUUGGUGUCUGUAAUCGGCUCGGAACCCUUGCUGCUCUUUCACUGAAUAUCGCUGUCUGGAGGUUACUUGGUACACUGGUCGACAAAACCUUGAAAUGUUGAUGUUUAAGGGCUGUUGAUUGCUGGCAGCAAAGAAGUCCAACUGUGCUGGUACCCGAGAUAGCGUCUCCACAUUUUCUUCCAGGAUCAUCACCUUUGUUCUAAAUAGCUCCCACAUAGUGUGAACAGAAGUCAUAUGUUUUAGAUUUUCUGCCUUGGCACCCAGGAAACCAGUAUGAUUGAGUAAACAUAUUAAACUUCCUCUGCAUUUCCAGCCUGAACAGAUGUUGAGUACAAGCUGAUCCACCUACGUUCAACCUGAGAGAGUCCACAUCCACAGACUGUUUCAUUUCCCUUUUUCAAUUUACAUAGAAGCAUAGAUUCUUGCUGGCAUAUACAAAUGCGCCAUUUAAGGCAAUCAAAAAUGGUUCCACAUCUCAUCUGAUUUCCACAAUUGUUGCUGUAACGAUGGACUACUGAGGAGAGAGACAAUUUCUCUGGCACAUCUUCCCACAUUUUAGCAACAUGUUCAUGGAGAGCCAAUAUUCAGUAAUUACAGCCCAAUUCCUCACAAUUUCACAAUUCGCUAACAAUAUGCAUUUUCACAAUGUAAAGCUGAUUUUCCUUUAACCAAAUCAAACAUGAAAAGAUAGCUGCAUGCAAUGGGCAAUCUAGAUCAUUAGAAGAUUGAUGUAAAAUUAGAGGACACUGAGACUGGAAUAGAUUGCAAACUUCAGGGAGCUCAGAAAACUUGUAAACUCUACAUUUUGAGGAAAUAUGUUGUCGAUGCUUUUGCAACUCUAUGCAGUAACUUAACAAAUAA